rnacentral:rRNA from 1 species
GACGAACGCUGGCGGCGUGCUUAACACAUGCAAGUCGAACGGAAAGGCCCUGCUUUUGUGGGGUGCUCGAGUGGCGAACGGGUGAGUAACACGUGAGUAACCUGCCCUUGACUUUGGGAUAACUUCAGGAAACUGGGGCUAAUACCGGAUAGGAGCUCCUGCUGCAUGGUGGGGGUUGGAAAGUUUCGGCGGUUGGGGAUGGACUCGCGGCUUAUCAGCUUGUUGGUGGGGUAGUGGCUUACCAAGGCUUUGACGGGUAGCCGGCCUGGGAGGGUGACCGGCCACAUUGGGGCUGAGAUACGGCCCAGACGCCUACGGGAGGCAGCAGUGGGGAAUAUUGCACAAUGGGCGGAAGCCUGAUGCAGCAACGCCGCGUGCGGGAUGACGGCCUUCGGGUUGUAAACCGCUUUCGCCUGUGACGAAGCGUGAGUGACGGGAAUGGGUAAAGAAGCACAGGCUAACUACGU